UUUGGCAUCGACUCCUUUUGGAUUGGCCCGAUCAUUGUCAUGGCUUGAUAUGAAUGGAGGAGUCUGCAAUGAAGACACGAAGUGUGUUGGUUUUGCUAGAAUUGGAAGUGAAGAUCAGAUCAUUGUGGCUGGUACAAUGAAGCAACUUCAAGUGCAUGAUUUUUUCCUAUCAAAUAGUACUGUAGGAGUGUGCAACUACUCAAAUUUUGAUGUGUUAUUAUGUAAAAAAUUAAA